rnacentral:rRNA from 1 species
UACGGAAGGCAGCAGUGGGGAAUAUUGCACAAUGGGCGAAAGCCUGAUGCAGCUAUGCCGCGUGUAUGAAGAAGGCCUUAGGGUUGUAAAGUACUUUCAUCGGGGAGGAAAAAACAAAACUAAUAAUUUUAUUUCUUGACGUUACCCGAAAAAGAAGCACCGGCUAACUCCGUGCCAGCAGCCGCGGUAAUACGGAGGGUGCUAGCGUUAAUCAGAAUUACUGGGCGUAAAGAGCACGUAGGUGGUUUUUUAAGUCAGAUGUGAAAUCCCUGGGCUUAACCUAGGAACUGCAUUUUGAAACUGAAAUACUAGAGUAUCGUAGAGGGAGGUAGAAUUCUAGGUGUAGCGGUGAAAUGCGUAGAUAUCUGGAGGAAUACCUGUGGCGAAAGCGGCCUCCUAAACGAAUACUGACACUGAGGUGCGAAAAGCGUGGGGAGCAAAACAGGGAUUAGAUACC